UACGGAGGGUGCAAGCGUGUCCGGAUUUAUUGGGUUUAAAGGGUGCGUAGGCGGCCCUGUAAGUCAGUGGUGAAAUACUGCAGCUUAACUGUAGCAUUGCCAUUGAUACUGUAGGGCUUGAGUACAGAUGAGGUAGGCGGAAUUGAUGGUGUAGCGGUGAAAUGCAUAGAUACCAUCAAGAACACCGAUUGCGAAGGCAGCUUACUAGCUGUAAACUGACGCUGGAGGCACGAAAGCGUGGGGAUCAACAGG
rnacentral:rRNA from 1 species